UACGUAGGGUGCAAGCAUUAAUCGGAAUAAUUGGGCGUAAAGGGCGCGUAGGCGGAAGAGUAAGUCAGAUGUGAAAUCCCAAAGCUCAAGGUUGGGGCUGCAUUUGAAACUACUCUUCUAGAGGUAUGGCGGAGAAAGCGGAAUUCCAUGUGUAGCGGUGAAAUGCGUAGAUAUAUGGAAGAACACCUGUGGCGAAAGCGGCUUUCUAGCUUAAACCUGACGCUGAGGCGCGAGAGCAAGGGGAGCAAACAGG
rnacentral:rRNA from 1 species